AUUGAACGCUCGCGGGAUGCUUUACACAUGCAAGUCGAACGGCAGCGCGGACUUCGGUCUGGCGGCGAGUGGCGAACGGGUGAGUAAUGUAUCGGAACGUGCCCAGUAGCGGGGGAUAACUACGCGAAAGUGUAGCUAAUACCGCAUACGCCCUACGGGGGAAAGCAGGGGAUCGUAAGACCUUGCACUAUUGGAGCGGCCGAUAUCGGAUUAGCUAGUUGGUGAGGUAACGGCUCACCAAGGCGACGAUCCGUAGCUGGUUUGAGAGGACGACCAGCCACACUGGGACUGAGACACGGCCCAGACUCCUACGGGAGGCAGCAGUGGGGAAUUUUGGACAAUGGGGGCAACCCUGAUCCAGCCAUCCCGCGUGUGCGAUGAAGGCCUUCGGGUUGUAAAGCACUUUUGGCAGGAAAGAAACGUCGCGGGCUAAUACCCCGUGGAACUGACGGUACCUGCAGAAUAAGCACCGGCUAACUACGUG
rnacentral:rRNA from 1 species